UUGAGAACCCAGUAGCGUCCCAAUUUCGACGCCGCCUUAACACGAUGACCGGAGAAGAGGGAAAUGAAACCUAGCUAGUAGGCAGAAACUGAGCAAGAAAGUGAAGGAAAGUAGUAGACUUGUUAGGGGGAAAAAAUGGGAAGCGAGGCAAAGAGCAGUGGCAUCAGUGGAGGAGGAGGCGGAAGCGGAAGCGGAGGAUUCAGGUCGAAAAUUGAUAAUUUCUUGUACAGUGGAGACAAGAAGCAUGUCUUGGCUGGUAUCGCCAUCAUCAGUGUGGUUUUUGGCGUCCCCUGGUACCUCAUGAACCGAGGAACAAAACAUCGGUCCCACCAAGAUUACUUGGAAAAGGCUGAUAAAGCACGGAGUGACAGACUUUCCUCAGGUUCUGCUUCUGCACGAUGAGCUUUGUGCACUCUUGAAGGGAUUGGUGUCCAGUGAUAAUUUGAGCUGAAGGUAUAAUGGCCCUUUGUUAUUAAGCACGCUUUCAUCCGCCUUUGAUUUCCCAAAACUAGUUUGCAGCUCCUAUCAGGAUGAUUUUCUUUCUUAUGUUGUUGAGAUGAGCAUAUGAUUAACGGUUGAAAAAUUGAAAUUUUCGGUGCUAUACAUUUGCUAAAUGGAAAUAAGUAUGGGUUAUGCUUUGAGAUAA